AUGGCCAACCCGCGCCUCCUCCUCCGCAGGAUCCUCUGCGUCGCCGCCGCCGCCGCCUUCCUCUCUGCCCCCGUCUCCGCCAUCCGGAAGGACAUUGGUUUUGCUGCACCCAUCAUAUGCAGGACAACUGUUCAAGGACGGCAUUUGAUAUCAGAUGAUAACGGUUAUGUAUGUUCUGCCCUUUCGAUUGAUCCAUGGUCUCGCUGCUGCCCACAAACAGGAGAACGCUUCUCCUGUCAGGGCUGCAACCUUGAUUCGCAGUGCUGCAACUCUUACGAGUAUUGUGUUUCUUGCUGCUUGAAUCCUUCUAUGACCAAGGAAGCAGAUGUUCUGAAGUUGAAGGUAGCUAAGCCAGUCACUGCUGGAACUUACGCCAAUAUCUUCGAUUUCUGCAUGGGAAGAUGCCGCCAUAGUUCUGCAAGCGUGGUCCAUGAAAAUGCAUAUUUGAGUGAUUUCCAUCAUUGCUUUCUGGUGCAGCAAAAUUCAUCGGCAGGAUCAACUGAAUCUAAUUUUGGAUCAAGGUUGGAUGGCAUUAACGUCAUUUUGGGAAGGCAGGGGGAAUCAUGUAGUUCUGCAUGCAGAGCAAAAGGACAAUCAUGUGUUCCAAGCAGGCUUUCUGAGUUGAACAAAUGUCAGAUUUUGCAGAAAUAUAUGAGAUGCAAAAAUGGUUGCUUUCCCAGUCUUGGGCCCGAUCAACCUGCCGAAGUUGUAGACGAAGCUCCAAAAAAUUUGAAUCCUGGAGCGUGCUUGUACAUGCAGAUGGAUGACCGCCUCACCUGUGAUGGCUCACAUCAACAUACCCGGAGGCUCUGCCCUUGUGCAUGA
rnacentral:rRNA from 1 species